CUCUCUCUCUCUCUCUCUUGCCACCAUGUAACACAUGCCUUGCUUCCCCUUUGCCUUCUGCCAUGAUUGUAAGUUUCCUGAGCCCUCCCCAGCCAUGCAGAACUGUGAGUCAAAUAAGCCUAUUUCUUAAUAAUUUACCCAGUCUCAGGCAGUUCUUUACAGCAGUGUGAAAAUGGACUAAUACAGGGAGAAAUUAUUUUUCGAUUAUUGUAUUCAUUGUCUUUCAAAAAUAUUGGAAUAUGCUUUUCAAAUUGAUUAAGGUAAGUUGAUAUAACAUAUAAUCAAUUUCAGGUUUUUAUUAAUUUUGUAAACUUAGGCAAAUCACUUAAUUUGUGGCUUCAAUUUUUCUCAUCUGUAAAGUAAGAGUGUUAGACCAGACCAAUAAUUCUCAACUGAUAUUGAGGAGACCUACCCUGAUAUUCAGGGAUGUAAUAGAAUACAUUAGAGUCUUCAUUAGAGUAUUUGUGAUUUGAAAAAAUUUAUUCAGUAUAAUUAUACAAUUUUAUAGUUGGGAAGAAAAAAGAAAGUUACUACUUCUGUAAUAUUAAACAGUAGAAAGAGAGGUCCAGGAAAAUGUUGGCUCCUGUGUUUCUCAGAGGUUGAAGGCUAAACCGUUCCAGGAGGUUGUGUAAAAUCUUUGGGGUAGCUGUGGUAGGGACUCUGACUUACUCUCUUUUAUGUUAUUCAUUGAACUAAAUAAAGGUGAAAGAACUGCGUUAAUUCCCCUCCCAUCACCUAACAUUUUUUCAUGGCUCACAUAUACCUUGUUUUUCUUUGGAUAUAUUGGAAGAACUCCGUAACCCUUUUUAUUUUAUUUUAUUUUUUUUGAGAUGGAGUUUUGCUCUUGUUGCCCAGGCUGGAGUACAAUGGCAUGAUCUCAGUUCACCACAACCCCCACCUCCCAGGUUCAAGCUAUUCUCCUGCCUCAGCCUCCCAAGUAGCUGGGGUUACAGGCAUGUGCCACCACGCCAGGCUAAUUUUGUAAUUUUAGUAGAGAGACGGGGUUUCUCCAUGUUGGUUGGGCUGGUCUCGAACUCCUGACCUCAGGUGAUCUUCCUGCCUCAGCCUCCCAAAGUGCUGGGAUUACAGGCAUGAGCCACUGUGCCCAGCCUCAGUAAACUUUUUUAUUGUUUCUUUAAAUUUGUCUUAUUUUGAAGAAUGGCAAAAUUAUAAAUCACAUUAAUAUUAGGUUCAGAAAUACCACAAAGAUAAGUAAACCAGACAUUGUAAUUUAUCCAAGUGUCUCCGUGUAGACCUGUUGUUACUUAAUUUACCUGCUCACAUGAUCAAAGAGAGGCUGAUAGUUUAGUUUAGGUGUGGCUUAGAAGAUUCUGUGAAAGAAGUGAAACUCAGCCUAGCAUGUUUGGGUGACUGAGUGCUCUAUUUUUAAGGAACUAGAGGUUUUGUUCUCA
rnacentral:lncRNA from 1 species